rnacentral:rRNA from 1 species
GAACUGAAGAGUUUGAUCAUGGCUCAGAUUGAACGCUGGCGGCAGGCCUAACACAUGCAAGUCGAGCGGAUGAAGGGAGCUUGCUUCCUGAUUCAGCGGCGGACGGGUGAGUAAUGCCUAGGAAUCUGCCUGGUAGUGGGGGACAACGUUCCGAAAGGAGCGCUAAUACCGCAUACGUCCUACGGGAG